rnacentral:rRNA from 1 species
AUUGAACGCUGGCGGCAGGCCUAACACAUGCAAGUCGAGCGGAUGAGGGAAGCUUGCUUCCCGAUUUAGCGGCGGACGGGUGAGUAAUGCCUAGGAAUCUGCCUAUUAGUGGGGGAUAACGUUCCGAAAGGAACGCUAAUACCGCAUACGUCCUACGGGAGAAAGUGGGGGGUCUUCGGACCUCACGCUAAUAGAUGAGCCUAGGUCGGAUUAGCUAGUUGGUGAGGUAACGGCUCACCAAGGCGACGAUCCGUAGCUGGUCUGAGAGGAUGAUCAGCCACACUGGAACUGAGACACGGUCCAGACUCCUACGGGAGGCAGCAGUGGGGAAUAUUGGACAAUGGGCGAAAGCCUGAUCCAGCCAUGCCGCGUGUGUGAAGAAGGUCUUCGGAUUGUAAAGCACUUUAAGUUGGGAGGAAGGGUUGUAAGCUAAUAUCUUGCAGCUUUGACGUUACCAACAGAAUAAGCACCGGCUAACUCUGUGCCAGCGCCGCGGUAACAC